GCGGCUACACAUGCAGUCGAGCGGAUGAGGGGAGCUUGCUCCCUGAUUCAGCGGCGGACGGGUGAGUAAUGCCUAGGAAUCUGCCUGGUAGUGGGGGACAACGUCUCGAAAGGGACGCUAAUACCGCAUACGUCCUACGGGAGAAAGCAGGGGACCUUCGGGCCUUGCGCUAUCAGAUGAGCCUAGGUCGGAUUAGCUAGUUGGUGAGGUAAUGGCUCACCAAGGCUGCGAUCCGUAACUGGUCUGAGAGGAUGAUCAGUCACACUGGAACUGAGACACGGUCCAGACUCCUACGGGAGGCAGCAGUGGGGAAUAUUGGACAAUGGGCGAAAGCCUGAUCCAGCCAUGCCGCGUGUGUGAAGAAGGUCUUCGGAUUGUAAAGCACUUUAAGUUGGGAGGAAGGGCAGUAAGUUAAUACCUUGCUGUUUUGACGUUACCGACAGAAUAAGCACCGGCUAACUUCGUGCCAGCAGCCGCGGUAAUACGAAGGGUGCAAGCGUUAAUCGGAAUUACUGGGCGUAAAGCGCGCGUAGGUGGUUUGUUAAGUUGGAAGUGAAAGCCCCGGGCUCAACCUGGGAACUGCUUUCAAAACUGGCAAGCUAGAGUAUGGCAGAGGGUGGUGGAAUUUCCUGUGUAGCGGUGAAAUGCGUAGAUAUAGGAAGG
rnacentral:rRNA from 1 species